CCUACGGGAGGCAGCAGUGGGGAAUAUUGGACAAUGGGGGCAACCCUGAUCCAGCCAUGCCGCGUGUGUGAAGAAGGCCCUCGGGUUGUAAAGCACUUUCAGUGAGGAAGAACGCCUGGUGGUUAAUACCCAUCAGGAAAGACAUCACUCACAGAAGAAGCACCGGCUAACUCCGUGCCAGCAGCCGCGGUAAUACGGAGGGUGCGAGCGUUAAUCGGAAUUACUGGGCGUAAAGCGCGCGUAGGUGGCUUGAUAAGCCGGUUGUGAAAGCCCCGGGCUCAACCUGGGAACGGCAUCCGGAACUGUCAAGCUAGAGUGCAGGAGAGGAAGGUAGAAUUCCCGGUGUAGCGGUGAAAUGCGUAGAGAUCGGGAGGAAUACCAGUGGCGAAGGCGGCCUUCUGGACUGACACUAACACUGAGGUGCGAAAGCGUGGGUAGCAAACAGGAUUAGAUACCCUAGUAGUC
rnacentral:rRNA from 1 species